rnacentral:rRNA from 1 species
UACGAAGGGGGGCUAGCGUUGCUCGGAAUCACUGGGCGUAAAGCGCACGUAGGCGGAUCUUUAAGUCGGUGGUGAAAUCCUGGAGCUCAACUCCAGAACUGCCUCCGAUACUGAGGAUCUUCGAGUCCGGGAGAGGUGAGUGGAACUGCGAGUGUAGAGGUGAAAUUCGUAGAUAUUCGCAAGAACACCAGUGGCGAAGGCGGCUCACUGGCCCGGUACUGACGCUGAGGUGCGAAAGCGUGGGGAGCGAACAGG